AACAUAGAAGUAAAAAAAUACACUUAGUUUCGACCUAAAAUUAGAGAAUAAAUUCUCCAUGUUU
rnacentral:tRNA from 1 species